CGGGACGGGUGAGUAAUGUCUGGGAAACUGCCUGAUGGAGGGGGAUAACUACUGGAAACGGUAGCUAAUACCGCAUAACGUCGCAAGACCAAAGAGGGGGACCUUCGGGCCUCUCGCCAUCGGAUGUGCCCAGAUGGGAUUAGCUAGUAGGUGGGGUAACGGCUCACCUAGGCGACGAUCCCUAGCUGGUCUGAGAGGAUGACCAGCCACACUGGAACUGAGACACGGUCCAG
rnacentral:rRNA from 1 species